rnacentral:rRNA from 1 species
UACGUAGGGCGCAAGCGUUGUCCGGAAUUAUUGGGCGUAAAGAGCUCGUAGGCGGUUUGUCGCGUCUGCUGUGAAAACUCGGGGCUUAACCCCGGGCCUGCAGUGGGUACGGGCAGACUAGAGUGCGGUAGGGGAGACUGGAAUUCCUGGUGUAGCGGUGAAAUGCGCAGAUAUCAGGAGGAACACCGGUGGCGAAAGCGGCGCGCUGGAUCCCUACUGACGCUGAGGCACGAAAGCCAGGGGAGCAAACGGG